UACCCUACGGGGGGCAGCAGUGGGGGAUAUUGCACAAUGGGGGGAACCCUGAUGCAGCGACGCCGCGUGGGCGAUGGAGUACUUCGGUAUGUAAAGCCCUAUCAGCAGGGAAGAAAAUGACGGUACCUGACUAAGAAGCCACGGCUAACUACGUGCCAGCAGCCGCGGUAAUACGUAGGUGGCAAGCGUUGUCCGGAUUUACUGGGUGUAAAGGGCGUGUAGCCGGGCUGACAAGUCAGAUGUGAAAUCCGGGGGCUCAACCCCCGAACUGCAUUUGAAACUGUUGGUCUUGAGUAUCGAAGAGG
rnacentral:rRNA from 1 species